rnacentral:rRNA from 1 species
GAUGAACGCUGGCGGCGUGCCUAAUACAUGCAAGUCGAGCGAACAGAUAAGGAGCUUGCUCCUUUGACGUUAGCGGCGGACGGGUGAGUAACACGUGGGUAACCUACCUAUAAGACUGGGAUAACUUCGGGAAACCGGAGCUAAUACCGGAUAAUAUUUCGAAACGCAUGGUUCGAUAGUGAAAGAUGGUUUUGCUAUCACUUAUAGAUGGACCCGCGCCGUAUUAGCUAGUUGGUAAGGUAACGGCUUACCAAGGCGACGAUACGUAGCCGACCUGAGAGGGUGAUAGGCCACACUGGAACUGAGACAAGGUCCAGACUACUACGGGAGGCAGCAGUAGGGAAUCUUCCGCAAUGGGCGAAAGCCUGACGGAGCAACGCCGCGUGAGUGAUGAAGGUCUUCGGAUCGUAAAACUCUGUUAUUAGGGAAGAACAUACGUGUAAGUAACUGUGCACGUCUUGACGGUACCUAAUCAGAAAGCCACGGCUAACUACGUG